UACGGGGGGGGCAAGCGUUGUUCGGAAUUACUGGGCGUAAAGGGCUCGUAGGCGGCCAACUAAGUCGGAUGUGAAAUCCCCAGGCUUAACCUGGGAACUGCAUCCGAUACUGGAUGGCUUGAAUCCGGGAGAGGGAUGCAGAAUUCCAGGUGUAGCGGUGAAAUGCGUAGAUAUCUGGAGGAAUACCGGUGGCGAAGGCGGCAUCCUGGACCGACAUUGACGCUGAGGAGCGAAAGCUAGGGGAGCAAACGGG
rnacentral:rRNA from 1 species